AAAAGUGCAGUGAUGAGAGCUUAAUGUGGACUAGAGUUUCUGAUCUAGCAGUUGAAGACAAACCCUUGGCUGUCUGAGCACUCUU